rnacentral:tRNA from 1 species
GCCUUUGUGAUGUAGUGGUCAGCACGCUCGACGUGUAACCGAGAGGUCCGUGGUUUGAUUCCCAGCGAAGGCG